UUCAGAAUCCGGUUGAUCCUGCCGGACCUGACUGCUAUCGGAUUGAUACUAAGCCAUGCUAGUCUUUGUAGUAAUACAAGGCAUACGGCUCAGUAACGCGUAGUCAACCUACCCUAUGGAUGGGGAUAAUCUCGGGAAACUGAGCAUAAUACCCAACAGAUCAUCAAUUCUGGAAUGGUUGAUGAUUCAAAUGAUUUUUCGCCAUAGGAUGGGACUGCGGCCUAUCAGCUUGUUGGUGAGGUAAUGGCCCACCAAGGCAAUUACAGGUACGGGCUCUGAGAGGAGAAGCCCGGAGAUGGGUACUGAGACAAGGACCCAGGCCCUAUGGGGCGCAGCAGGCGAGAAAACUUUGCAAUGUGCGAAAGCACGACAAGGUUAAUCCGAGUGAUUUCUGCUAAAGAAAUCUUUUGCCAGUUCUAAAACUACUGGCGAAUAAGGGGUGGGCAAGUUCUGGUGUCAGCCGCCGCGGUAAAACCAGCACCUCAAGUGGUCAGGAGGAUUAUUGGGCCUAAAGCAUCCGUAGCCUGCUCUGUAAGUUUUCGGUUAAAUCUAUACGCUCAACGUAUAGGCUGCCGAAAAUACUGCAAAACUAGGGAGUGGGAGAGGUAGACGGUACUUGAU
rnacentral:rRNA from 1 species